AUUCGGCUGAUGAGUCCCAAAUAAAACGAAACGCGCAUCCUUGAU
rnacentral:hammerhead_ribozyme from 1 species